GGCGGAGUAGCUCAGCUGGUUAGAGCAGAGGAAUCAUAAUCCUUGUGCCGGGGGUUCAAAUCCCUCCUCCGCUACCA
rnacentral:tRNA from 1 species